rnacentral:lncRNA from 1 species
AUUGAGAAUGUAAUCUUGGUCUUUAAAGAACAGAGUUCUGGAGUAAAGAAGCAGGUUCCCUUUUCAGUAGACACCUCCCGUCUGCUGUUGGAACACAUCAAUUGUAUCUUCAUCCUCCAUUUCCAACUGUGCAGGUGUGUCUGUUUCAUUGGUUGCCCGUCGAAUCGGAAUCUGAUCUGCCUCAUUGACAAUCCCUGUCGUUCACAAUAGGCUUUCAUUAGUUUACUAAGUGGUGUAUGCCUCUUAAUCUUAAACUGCACCACAGAACCAUCCUGCCCCGCCACCUUCAAAUUAAUAUGAUCGUUGUUCUCAGUCUUGACUCCUUCCUUGGGCUUUUCUUCGGCCAUGGCGAGCGCCGGAGUCUCCUCAGCUGCCGCUUCACAAAAGAGGUACCAGGUCCGCUCCAAACG